GUCCACGCCCUAAACGAUGUCUACUAGUUGUCGGGUCUUAAUUGACUUGGUAACGCAGCUAACGCGUGAAGUAGACCGCCUGGGGAGUACGGUCGCAAGAUUAAAACUCAAAGGAAUUGACGGGGACCCGCACAAGCGGUGGAUGAUGUGGAUUAAUUCGAUGCAACGCGAAAAACCUUACCUACCCUUGACAUGGCAGAAAUCCCUGAGAGAUUGGGGAGUGCUCGAAAGAGAAUCUGCACACAGGUGCUGCAUGGCUGUCGU
rnacentral:rRNA from 1 species